UUAUCAUAUAUGUCAGGACAUGGUAAGGAAGGAGACUAAUGAAAGUGGCCUCUGAUUCAGUCUUUUAAAAUAAUUUUUAACAUUUCUCUUUUUAAAUAUAUAGAUUCUAGAUUUUUAUGUUUAACCAGCAAAUAUGGUGUUACUACUAAGUAACACUUGUUUAGACCUGAUAUCACAAGUAUAAAAGAAAACCAACAAUAUAAUGCUUUCAUCUUUGUUUCUCCUUAAAUAUUUGUUUUUCCUUCGUGGAACUGGGAGAAGAGAAAGUUUCAGGUCACCCCAGAAGGCACAGAAUUGCUGGGCCAGCCAUCUAGAAGCAAAGCACAAUAUGGACCUGUCCGUAUUUAUACCUCCUCUGCCCCAAGGCAAUUCCACAGACUUGAACCUCCCCACCCUUCAGAACAGGAGAAAAUUGAAUUUAUUUCCACUUAAGUUCCAGGAGGUUGCCAUGUUCCCCAUGGGCACUCAAUAAAUAUUGACUAAAUUGAAUGUUGCCCUGUGUUAUCUUCCUUUCUUUCUUUUUCCUUCCCUGGUCCUCUGACUGCUUUCUUGGGGCCUUGAAAAUUAUAUAUAUAUAUGUAUUUUUCAGAUUCUUUUUGUCUCAUCAGCUCUCAGUGUGAGGCCUCUCUAUUUUAAUAUCACCUCUUUGUGUUUGUUUUCUCUGUGUGUCUUCUCUCAGUUUCUCUUGGAAUCUGUUCUCUCUCUGCUUUCUUUUUCUGAGACUGUCUCUCUCUGUUCCUCUACUCCUCCCAUCUCUCUGUCUCUCUGCCUGUCUCUCUCUCACAGAUGUACCUUUCUGUAUUUGUGUUUGUUCUCCCCCUGGAGUUAUCAUCUGAAGCGGUUCACAACAAGCCUCCCCAAAAUGUGCUACAUAGUCAGGUAGAUUCUUUGAGCUGUAGUCAAUGAUGUCCCAAAAGACUCAAGGAAGAGUUUUUACCAUCCCCUUAGCUGCCUAAAAGAAUUUAGAUAGAGGGCCUUGUCCCAGAAGAGAACAAUCACCAGAUGAAACUACAAGGAAUAUGGGACAGCAACUCUGCAAGUUAACAAGAUGACCCACGUCCUCGUCUUGCAGAUGAGGAACUGAGGCUAAGAGAAGUUAAGUGACUUGACAAAAAUCAUAGCAGAACUGAAACUUCCAUGCCAAGAACUACGCCAAGCACUGUAUUCUAAUGAAACUCAUAUAAUCCUCCCAAUGACUUCAUUUGAUCAAGGAUAUAACGGCAGUGUGGAGUAAUUUCCAAAAAUGAC